rnacentral:rRNA from 1 species
CUUGGUCAUUUAGAGGAAGUAAAAGUCGUAACAAGGUUUCCUUCCACGGGCUCUCACCCGCUGAAGCCUUUCGCGGCGACUUGAAAUAAUCGCGCAGUCCGGGCAUCCUGCCUGGGCAACGCCCCCACUGUGCUGGAAGUCUGCCCUUGGGCGAUAACCAGCGGCCGCCCUCUUAGGGAUGGUUCACAGAUCAAACGAUGGCGGCCACCCGUGCGUGGUUUAGAUAUGACCGGAUCCAGCCGUUCGUCCGGCUGCACCAACAGUUCCGUAGGUGAACCUGCGGAAGGAUCAUUAAAGAGUUAUGAGAAGCCUGCCCUUAAAAGCAUGGCCAUCAUCUCCCACCCAUUGUAAACCUUACCAUUGUUGCUUUGGCGAACCAGCGGGUUCCACCCGCCGCCGGCCUCGGCUGGCGAGAGUUUGCCAGAGUCUAUCCAAACUCGUUUAAUUAGUGAUGUCUGAGAAAAAAUCAAUAGCAAAAAACUUUCAACAACGGAUCUCUUGGUUCUGGCAUCGAUGAAGAACGCAGCGAAAUGCGAUAAGUAAUGUGAAUUGCAGAAUUCAGUGAAUCAUCGAAUCUUUGAACGCACAUUGCGCCCUCUGGUAUUCCGGGGGGCAUGCCUGUUCGAGCGUCAUUACACCUCUCAAGCUCAGCUUGGUAUUGGGUGCCGUCCUCAGGGGCGCAUCUGGAAAGUAGCGGCGGUGCGGCCGGUGAUCAAGCGUAGUAACUACUCCCGCUUUGAGACACCCGGGCGUGCCAGCCGGAUAACACCCAAAUUUUUCAAUGGUUGACCUCGGAUCAGGUAGGGAUACCCGCUGAACUUAAGCAUAUCAAUAAGCGGAGGAAAAGAAACCAACAGGGAUUGCCUUAGUAACGGCGAGUGAAGCGGCAACAGCUCAAAUUUGAAAUCUGACCUCACGGUCCGAGUUGUAAUUUGUAGAGGAAGUCUCGGGUGCGACACCGGCCUAAGUUCCUUGGAACAGGGCGUCAUAGAGGGUGAGAAUCUCGUACGUGGCCGGCUGUCAACCCCAUGUGAGGCCCCUUCGACGAGUCGAGUUGUUUGGGAAUGCAGCUCAAAAUGGGUGGUAUAUUUCAUCUAAAGCUAAAUAUUGGCCAGAGACCGAUAGCGCACAAGUAGAGUGAUCGAAAGAUGAAAAGCACUUUGGAAAGAGAGUUAAACAGUACGUGAAAUUGUUGAAAGGGAAGCGCUUGCAAUCAGACUUGCUCGCGGGUGAUCAACCGUCUUUCGGGGCGGUGCACUCGCCCGUGAUCAGGCCAGCAUCGGUUUUGGCGGCCGGACAAAGGCCUUAGGAACGUGGCCCCUUUCGGGGGGUGUUAUAGCCUAGGGUGCAAUGCGGCCAGCCGGGACCGAGGACCGCGCUUCGGCUAGGAUGCUGGCGUAAUGGUUGUAAGCGACCCGUCUUGAAACACGGACC